rnacentral:rRNA from 1 species
GACGAACGCUGGCGGCGUGCUUAACACAUGCAAGUCGAACGGAAAGGCCCUGCUUUUGUGGGGUGCUCGAGUGGCGAACGGGUGAUUAACACGUGAGUAACCUGCCCUUGACUUUGGGUUAACUUCAGGAAACUGGGGCUAAUACCGGAUCGGAGCUCCUGCUGCAUGGUGGGGGUUGGAAAGUUUCGGCGGUUGGGGAUGGACUCGCGGCUUAUCAGCUUGUUGGUGGGGUAGUGGCUUACCAAGGCUUUGACGGGUAGCCGGCCUGAGAGGGUGACCGGCCACAUUGGGACUGAGAGACGGCCCAGACUCCUACGGGAGGCAGCAGUGGGGAAUAUUGCACAAUGGGCGGAAGCCUGAGGCAGCAACGCCGCGUGCGGGAUGACGGCCUUCGGGUUGUAAACCGCUUUCGCCUGUGACGAAGCGUGAGUGACGGUAAUGGGUAAAGAAGCACCGGCUAACUACGUG